UUCCUACGCCGGGAAUCGAACCAGGGCCUCCCAGGUGAGAGCCAAAUAUUCUAGCCACUAAAUCGA